rnacentral:rRNA from 1 species
CCUACGGGGUGCUGCAGUCGAGAAUCAUUCACAAUGGGGGAAACCCUGAUGGUGCGACGCCGCGUGGGGGAAUGAAGGUCUUCGGAUUGUAAACCCCUGUCAUGUGGGAGCAAAUUAAAAAGAUAGUACCACAAGAGGAAGAGACGGCUAACUCUGUGCCAGCAGCCGCGGUAAUACAGAGGUCUCAAGCGUUGUUCGGAAUCACUGGGCGUAAAGCGUGCGUAGGCUGUUUCGUAAGUCGUGUGUGAAAGGCGCGGGCCCAACCCGCGGACGGCACAUGAUACUGCGAGACUAGAGUAAUGGAGGGGGAACCGGAAUUCUCGGUGUAGCAGUGAAAUGCGUAGAUAUCGGGAGGAACACUCGUGGCGAAGGCGGGUUCCUGGACAUUAACUGACGCUGAGGCACGAAGGCCAGGGGAGCGAAAGGGAUUAGAUACCCCAGUAGUC